rnacentral:rRNA from 1 species
AGUGAGGAAUAUUGGGCAAUGGAGGCAACUCUGACCCAGCCAUGUCGCGUGCAGGAAGACUGCCCUAUGGGUUGUAAACUGCUUUUAUACGGGAAUAAAUGCCCUACGUGUAGGGAGUUGCAUGUACCGUAAGAAUAAGCACCGGCUAACUCCGUGCCAGCAGCCGCGGUAAUACGGAGGGUGCAAGCGUUAUCCGGAUUUAUUGGGUUUAAAGGGUGCGUAGGUGGAAUUAUAAGUCAGUGGUGAAAUUUUGCGGCUUAACCGUAAAACUGCCAUUGAAACUGUAGUUCUUGAGAGAAUUCGAGGUAUGCGGAAUGUGUUGUGUAGCGGUGAAAUGCAUAGAUAUAACACAGAACACCGAUUGCGUAGGCAGCGUACCAGGAUUUUUCUGACACUGAUGCACGAAAGCGUGGGGAGCGAA